rnacentral:rRNA from 1 species
GACGAACGCUGGCGGCGUGCUUAACACAUGCAAGUCGAGCGGUAAGGCCCUUUCGGGGGUACACGAGCGGCGAACGGGUGAGUAAUACAUCGGAACGUGCCCAGUAGUGGGGGAUAGCUCGGCGAAAGCCGGAUUAAUACCGCAUACGACCUACGGGUGAAAGCGGGGGAUCGCAAGACCUCGCGCUAUUGGAGCGGCCGAUGUCAGAUUAGGUUGUUGGUGGGGUAAAAGCCUACCAAGCCGACGANCUGUAGCUGGUCUGAGAGGACGACCAGCCACACUGGGACUGAGACACGGCCCAGACUCCUACGGGAGGCAGCAGUGGGGAAUCUUGCGCAAUGGGCGAAAGCCUGACGCAGCGACGCCGCGUGAGGGAUGACGGCCUCGGUUGUAAC